AUAUUGAAACAAAAUUUAAGAAAUAUCCACGCACAAAGAAAAAUAGAUUCACUAGAUACCUAAUAAAUCUAUUUCAUACGUCAGAUAUCCGCACCCCCCUACAAUUUCAUACGUCAGAUAUCCGCACCCCUGUACAAAUGGUAGGUCAUUCUUUUUCAAACGGAGGGAGUAUUAAAAAAUAAUUUGUGACUCUAGUGAGUAAGGUGGAAAAGCAACGCCGCUAAUUUUGAUACAUGAACAACUAUUGUAUCUGUUAACUUCUCAUUUUACUUAUAAUGAGAUGUAAUUUGUGCAUGUUUUUUCUAUAAAUUGAGUUCAUGACAAAAUGUUUACUGAGAUGUCCAAACGAUUAAAAAAAAAUCCCAUCUACUCAUCAAGGGGUGAUAUUGUGUAGAGGAAUAAAAAAAUUGUAAUAAAAAAUUUGUAAAACUGUCUCCUUUUUAAAUAUUUGAAGCUCUGCCUCUAAACAUUACAUGAACCUUUUAGUGCGACAAAGGCCAUAUUUCUAAAUAAACAGUGCUUCAUGGCUUAAACCAUAUUUUAAUCAGAAAAAACAAACAU
rnacentral:lncRNA from 1 species